UAGGGAAUCUUCGGCAAUGGACGAAAGUCUGACCGAGCAACGCCGCGGGAGUGAAGAAGGUUUUCGGAUCGUAAAACUCUGUUGUUAGAGAAGAACAAGGACGUUAGUAACUGAACGUCCCCUGACGGUAUCUAACCAGAAAGCCACGGCUAACUACGUGCCAGCAGCCGCGGUAAUACGUAGGUGGCAAGCGUUGUCCGGAUUUAUUGGGCGUAAAGCGAGCGCAGGCGGUUUCUUAAGUCUGAUGUGAAAGCCCCCGGCUCAACCGGGGAGGGUCAUUGGAAACUGGGAGACUUGAGUGCAGAAGAGGAGAGUGGAAUUCCAUGUGUAGCGGUGAAUUGCGUAGAUAUAUGGAGGAACACCAGUGGCGAAAGCGGCUCUCUGGUCUGUACCUGACGAUGAGGCUGGAAAGCGUGGGGAGCAAACAGG
rnacentral:rRNA from 1 species